rnacentral:tRNA from 1 species
GGCGGUGUAGCUCAGGUGGUUAGAGCGGGGGUCUCAUAAGCCCUAGGUCGGCGGUUCGAAUCCGCCCGCCGCUACCA